GCGAUAAUGACGCACAGGAUAUGCGCUCGGCUCAAAUGAGCACGCUUUCACGGCAACACUGACUCAAACUCGUUUAUAAAUGUUGAUAUGGCAGAUGAUUUCUGUGAAACAAGUUCCAAAUUUGUUCACUUCUGUGUUUUUUUGAGUGCUAGAGUUUCUAGUUCCUGAUGUGAUCAAACACAUUACUGAUGAAACCUCAAACCAUGAUGAUAUCAAACUCAGGUCACGUGUGGAGGAAAACAGGUCAUCUGAAACUUUGUGUUUGAUAACUUGAGUUAGCCAUAUUGCCCAUUCAUUAUUCAUCAUGCUUCUUUUCAAAGGUCCUAUCAGGUGUCAGGUGAUGUUUUAGAGGUCCUUCAACCAGAGCAGGACAUCUAUAACUUAUUUAACACUGUUCAUGGUUGCUGAGCAGCUUGUGUGACCGUCAGCAGAAGCAGCAGAUCCAAAGGUCAUCCAGUCACCGCAGGUGAACUCAUGUGGAUGUCUGGUGAUUUCUUUGAAGUGUUAUCCCUCCGUCUGCGGGAAUGACUUCCAUAUGUCACCUAAAAGACCACCCAGAGUCCAUUACGUGCACUGAACUGAAGUGAGGUGUGCAGACGAUCAAUAACUUGGACAAUCGCUCAACCUGACGUGUGCAUGACCUCAGAAACCCGAGAGCUUGAUCCCUGUAAGAGCUGCUGAACUCCUGCAGCGGAGGACUAUGCCUCGCGGAACUGCAGAAGACGGCACGGUUUGACCUUCGGCUGACCAAUCAGCAGAAAGGGGUAUUUAAUUCCUGCCCACGUGUAGAAAUCGAAUAUUCAAGCUGUUUAUUAAUUUUUCAACCCCUGAAUGAAAAACGAAAAAUUAAGUUGAAUUCUUGGUUUUUUUAUUUAUUUUUUAUUUUUUAUUUUUUCUUGGAAAAAAAAUUAAAUACUAAAAAGGAGCUGUUUUCUCAAUUUUCUACUAUCAGUAUUAAAACAAAAAAAUGACUGAACGCUUGAUUGCCAAUUUUGGUUUGUAAUUUCAAAAGGAAAAUCCAUUGGCCACCAAUUACACGGACCUCGCCCCAGAUCUGCCUAGAUGCGUCUAUGUUCGUGCAAAUCAUUCGAGAUCCAGCUUCACCAACAGAAGGAGUGAUUGUAAGGUUUUUUUUUAUGAAUCUUUGCAAAUCACCUUUCCUAAUAAUGUGCCAAUUAGCAA
ensembl:lncRNA